rnacentral:rRNA from 1 species
UACAGAGGGUGCGAGCGUUUAAUCGGAAUUACUGGGCGUAAAGCGUGCGUAGACGGCUAUCUAAGUCGGGUGUGAAAGCCCCGGGCUCAACCUGGGAAUUGCAUUCGAGACUGAAUAGCUAGGGUGCGGUAGAGGGAAGCGGAAUUUCCGGUGUAGCGGUGAAAUGCGUAGAUAUCGGAAGGAACAUCAGUGGCGAAAGCGGCUUCCUGGAC